GGACCGUAUACAAGUCUCCUGGGAUGGAGCAUCAUAGAGGGUGAGAAUCCCGUCUUUGAUACGGACUACCAGUGCAUUGUGGUAUGCUCUCAACGAGUCGAGUUGUUUGGGAAUGCAGCUCAAAAUGGGUGGUAAAUUCCAUCUAAAGCUAAAUAUUGGCGAGAGACCGAUAGCGAACAAGUACCGUGAGGGAAAGAUGAAAAGAACUUUGGAAAGAGAGUUAAACAGUACGUGAAAUUGCUGAAAGGGAAACGCUUGAAGUCAGUCACGUCUGCUGGGAAUCAGCCUCGCUUCUGCGUGGUGUACUUUCUGGUAUGACGGGUCAGCAUCAGUUUUGACCACUGGAAAAAGGUGUGGGGAAUGUGACAGCUCCGGCUGUGUUAUAGCCUCAUAUUGUAUACAGUGGUUGGGACUGAGGAACGCAGCACGCCGAAAGGCCGGGUCUUUGACCACGUUCGUGCUUAGGAUGCUGGCAUAAUGGCUUUAAGCGACCCGUCUUGAAACACGGACCAAGGAGUCUAACAUGCCUGCGAGUGUUUGGGUGGAAAACUCGAGCGCGUAAUGAAAGUGAAAGUUGAGAUCCCUGUCGUGGGGAGCAUCGACGCCCGGACCAGAACUUUUGGGACGGAUCCGCGGUAGAGCAUGUAUGUUGGGACCCGAAAGAUGGUGAACUAUGCCUGAAUAGGGUGAAGCCAGAGGAAACUCUGGUGGAGGCUCGUAGCGGUUCUGACGUGCAAAUCGAUCGU
rnacentral:rRNA from 1 species